GCAGGCACGCAGCCAAACCCCUUGGCCGACCUCUAACAGCAUACCAUGACUAAACACACUCACAGGAGAACAUCAGCCCUGUAUACAAACCAUCAACAAAAACAACACCAACAAUCUGCUGAAUCAGACCACAAAGAAAACCUCAAGGGAGUCACUCUCCCUCUCCCUCUCUGAGUAUGUGUGUUGUGUGUGUGUGUGUGUGUGUGUGAGUGUGUGUGUUCGUGUUCGGGGAGUGAAGACAGGAACAGCCGGAAGUUGUUGUCGCAGCGUUUUCGAAGGGAAUCUACUGGAACCACACACACUCUUUAACCACCAUACUGUGCAUUGGAGUGUAGCAGGCGAUGGAGCGUGACACACCUGAUUACAACGAGUCAUUGGAAGACUUAACUCUGACUGAGCUGAAGGCAAAGCUCGGCCCAGAAACAUGGAGGUGGUCUCUGGGAAAGUGAUAUUCCCAGAAGAGAAGGCCAGGUGGAGGUAUGGAGAGAAAAACAGCGACAGAGGACGGGAGAUCGGGGGGCCACUUGGGAAUGCUGAUAUGAGUGCUCACUGGUCUCUCAACAGGUCAUUUGCCAUUGCUAGGUUGGCUUUCCGCCAAUGAGACAACAAUUCUGACAACAAACCUCUCCUCUUCAGAGACAGAAAGUGUGAAACCACCAAAGCAGAUGCUUGAGGUCUUAACGGGAAAAGAACCUGCCUAUGUAACCACACUACCCAUGACAGAGUGGUUCUGAGAAGCAGAGGCCCCAGAUAACCACGGAGAGUCAACAACCGGAAAAGCUGUGGAGAGAACACAGGCUUCUAGAUGUUGUUUUUAACUACAUGAAUGACUUAUAUUUGUAAUCGAACACACACAAUUCUAUUGUAUUG